UACGAAGGGGGGCUAGCGUUGCUCGGAAUCACUGGGCGUAAAGCGCACGUAGGCGGAUUGUUAAGUCAGGGGGUGAAAUCCUGGAGCUCAACUCCAGAACUGCCUUUGAUACUGGCGAUCUUGAGUCCGGGAGAGGUGAGUGGAACUGCGAGUGUAGAGGUGAAAUUCGUAGAUAUUCGGAAGAACACCAGUGGCGAAGGCGGC
rnacentral:rRNA from 1 species